AUGGAAUGGAAGCAUAAGGCUCUUAUAGUUGCUACUAGUGGCACAGUGUAUAAUGUAGUUUGCUGUUAUCUGGGAGCUAUUCACAUCAGGUCUAUUUUACCAAAAUUCAGGUGGGAAGUCCGAGAGCAUGAAGCCUUCUCCUUGCGUUAUUACAUGACCGGGCUCUGCACAUGGGGGAGUCAUGGAUGCUGCCUCGGAACAUUUUUAUUUGAAAAGCAUGAACACCACUGUGGGGGCCUCAACUCAGGACCUCCUUGGAUCCCAGUUAAUGUCCACAUUAGCAGAACAAUGUACACAAUGUUUCUGAAAAAAUCUCCAGAACACAGUCAUAACAUUGCAGUAGGUAAUAUACAAUAAGAUGAAGAAAGGGUUUGGAAUUUAAAUAUACAGCCUUGGUUAGUUUUCUUGUUGCUGAGAUGAAAUGCCCAGAGUUAGAGGAGGAAGGGUGUGCUUGGCUCACCUUUUGUACGAUUUCGUUUUGGACUUGGCUGGUUCCAAGGCAGGGUGGCGGGGCAGAAGGGCCUUGCAGAGGAGUGGCAGGCUGAAAGCAAGAAAACAGCAAGCAGCAAGCCACAAGCAGCAACCUUCUUUCUGUCCCUUGUAUUCUACCCAGGCCCUCACCCUUAGGGCGGGUGGCACUCGCACCCAGGGUGGGGCAGUCUUAAUCCUAGAAUUACACCAUGAAUCAAACCCAGUAUCACGUCCUUGAUCCAAGCAUCACACCCCACCCCCACAUUCCCCUAAAAAGCUCCACCUAUACUCACAUGACACUUUAGAAGAACAUCUAGAUACAAGCCAUAACAAACAGAAUGUAUUUCCACCUUCUUAUGGUCUUGUGCUCACCUGAAAGACUGUAUCAAUACUUAUCACCUGAG
rnacentral:lncRNA from 1 species